rnacentral:lncRNA from 1 species
GCCUGAAUUAAUUGGCUUAAUUUAAAAUUCGAACAGGUGGCUUCAGUUGGUGCCUGUAGCAGGCAGGGGGCUUUCAGUGGUCACCAGCUGGUGACCUGUCAGGACAGUGUGUCCUUAUGUCCUUUCCCAGUGCAUGUUGUCCCCACUCAGCCUUGGUGCCAUGAGGCUCAAGGCCGGCUCUCCUUGGGAAACCUGCUGCCUCAGUAGUGACCACGUGGCUGUUCCAGUUCACUGUCAAAGCGGCUGAAGCAACCUGGUGGAGCUGUGGGCCUGCUGUGAUCACUGACUCAGCUUUCAUUUGGAGGAAGGAGAAGUUUCACAGCUAUGAGGAAACAGUUACAGAGACAAAGCUUGCUGAAAUGAAAACGAACUAAUUACCAUGGAACAUGGUUUUUCUACAAGUCAUUUGGGUGCGAGAGUUAACCAGCUCUUGGCUUUGGGGCCUCUGGUUCUUGCGGCUUUCUGACAGUGUUUUGUGGAGUGAGUGGAUAACCCGUCCUGAAGCCACUUCAGAUGAGCAGGUACAACAAAAGGAAAAAAUGAAGGCCCAGUCUUCUUGGAGGCUAAAUGCCUUGGUGUUCAGUGCUCUGUUGGUAUUAAAUAUGUCUGUCUGCCCUCAAGCCAGCUGUGGUCCCAGAGCUACCUGCCUGAAAGGCUCCUGCCAAAUUGAAAUUGGCAACAACUUCCCCAACAUGUGGACAGGAACUCAUUGCUUAUUUUUCCUGAUGGAUUUUUCUUUUAUUAAAUUGGAUAUGUAAUGAUAAAUAGAAUAUAUUCUGUUUGAGAGGUGGGCGGGAAGUGGGGAAAAUGACUCCAGGAUCUAGGGAUCCUGAAA